UGGACCAUAGAUGUGGUUGCCUUUUUCCUUACUGGUUUAGGGUUUAUUUUAAGUUAAAAGAAAAGAAACAAAAGGAGCAGAAGAUGCAAACAACUAAGUUGGUUCCAAAAUUAUGAAACCAAAACAAAGUACUUUUGUACAAUGAGAUCUUUCCUUUGAACAUUGGUCCAAAGCCACAUUUUAAAGCUUUGAUCGAUCAUGAUCAUGUGGGACAGGGAGCUCCUGUUGCGUCCCUUCUUAGUUAUGGGAAGACAUUACCACCACUGUGUUGCUCUUUAUGUGCAGCCUUUUAGUUGUUAAAAUGUUUCUCUACUGUUUUCUUCUUCUUCUUUUUUUUUUUUUUUGGAAUUAGAUAUUUCCUUCCGCUUCUUUUUAUAUCUAUUAAUGAAGCUUUUUU
rnacentral:lncRNA from 1 species